rnacentral:rRNA from 1 species
GUAAGGGAUAUUGCACAAUGGACGGAAGUCUGAUGCAGCGACGCCGCGUGGGUGAAGAAGGUUUUCGGAUCGUAAAGCCCUUUUCUAUGUGACGAGAGAGGACGGUAGCAUAGGAAUAAGUGUCGGCUAACUACGUGCCAGCAGCCGCGGUAAAACGUAGGACGCGAACGUUAUCCGGAGUUACUGGGCGUAAAGCGCGCGCAGGCUGUAUGUUAAGUUACCUAUGAAAGGUAUCGGCUAAACUGGUAUAAGUUAGGUAGGACUGGCGUACUAGAGAGAAAUAGAGGGAAGUAGAAUUCCGGGUGUAGUGGUGAAAUGCGUAGAUAUCCGGAGGAAUACCGGUGGCGAAGGCGGCUUCCUGGAUUUCCACUGACGCUGAGGCGCGAAAGCGUGGGUAGCGAACGGGAUUAGAAACCCCGGUAGUCCACGCCGUAAACGAUGUACAUUAGGCGUUCGGUUACGGAAGUAAUUGAGUGUCGCAGCAAACGCGAUAA